GCCUGGUUGGCCCAGUGGAAAAGGCGCUGCGGGGGCGGUUCUAUGUAAGCCAUCCCGGUUCUGAACCGUGUGGUGGCCUGCCUUUCGAGAGACCCUGGUUCGAAUCCAGGACCGGGCA